AAUACUUGCACAAUGGGGGAAACCCUGAUGCAGCCAUGCCGCGUGUGUGAAGAAGGCCUUCGGGUUGUAAAGCACUUUCAGUAGGGAGGAAGGUAGUGUAGUUAACACCUGCAUUAUUUGACGUUACCUACACGAAGAAGCACCGGCUAACUCCGUGCCAGCAGCCGCGGUAAUACGGAGGGUGCGAGCGUUAAUCGGAAUUACUGGGCGUAAAGCGCAUGCAGGCGGCCUGUUAAGUCAGAUGUGAAAGCCCGGGGCUUAACCUCGGAAUUGCAUUUGAAACUGGCAGGCUAGAGUCUUGUAGAGGGGGGUAGGAAUUUCAGGUGUAGCGGUGAAAUGCGUAGAGAUCUGAAGGAAUACCAGUGGCGAAGGCGGCCCCCCUGGACAAAGACUGACGCUCAGAUGCGAAAGCGUGGGGAGCAAACAGGAUUAGAUACCCCUGGUAG
rnacentral:rRNA from 1 species